rnacentral:pre_miRNA from 1 species
AGUGGGAUUACUGGGCCAAAUGGUGGUUUCAGCCCAUGUUUCUGGGGAAUCUCUAUAUUGCUUUCCAUAAUGGUUGCAACAAUUUGUAGUCCCAUCAGCAAU